rnacentral:rRNA from 1 species
AUAGGGGAGCCGUAGGGAAACCGAGUCUUAACUGGGCGAAUGAGUUGCAGGGUAUAGACCCGAAACCCGGUGAUCUAUCCAUGGGCAGGUUGAAGGUUGGGUAACACUAACUGGAGGACCGAACCGACUAAUGUUGAAAAAUUAGCGGAUGACUUGUGGAUGGGGGUGAAAGGCCAAUCAAACCGGGAGAUAGCUGGUUCUCCCCGAAAGCUAUUUAGGUAGCGCCUCGUGAACUCAUCUUCGGGGGUAGAGCACUGUUUCGACUAGGGGGUCAUCCCGACUUACCAACUCGAUGCAAACUGCGAAUACCGAAGAAUGUUAUCACGGGAGACACACGGCGGGUGCUAACGUCCGUCGUGAAGAGGGAAACAACCCAGACCGCCAGCUAAGGUCCCAAAGUCAUGGUUAAGUGGGAAACGAAGUGGGAAGGCUCAGACAGCCAGGAUGUUGGCUUAGAAGCAGCCAUCAUUUAAAGAAAGCGUAAUAGCUCACUGGUCGAGUCGGCCCGCGCGGAAGAUGUAACGGGGCUAAACCAUGCACCGAAGCUGCGGCAGCGAACGUAUCACUUAAAUUUGUUUGAGUGAAUAACGAUUGACGGAACGAAGUGACGUCAAUGCGUUAAUGAAAGUCGAGGCGAAAGCACGACAAAGCGAAUUUAAGGAUACGUUCGUUGGGUAGGGGAGCGUUCUGUAAGCCUGCGAAGGUGUACUGUGAGGUAUGCUGGAGGUAUCAGAAGUGCGAAUGCUGACAUAAGUAACGAUAAUGCGGGUGAAAAACCCGCACGCCGGAAGACCAAGGGUUCCUGUCCAACGUUAAUCGGGGCAGGGUGAGUCGACCCCUAAGGCGAGGCUGAAAAGCGUAGUCGAUGGGAAACGGGUUAAUAUUCCCGUACUGGUGGUAACUGCGAUGGGGGAACGGAGAAGGCUAGGUUGUCCGGGCGACGGUCGUCCCGGUUCAAGCAGGUAGGCAGAGUGAUUAGGCAAAUCCGGUCACUUAAUGCUGAGAUGUGAUGACGAACCACCAAGGUGGUGAAGCAAUUGAUGCCCCGCUUCCAGGAAAAGCCUCUAAGCUUCAGGUUACCAACAAUCGUACCCCAAACCGACACAGGUGGUCAGGUAGAGAAUACUCAGGCGCUUGAGAGAACUCGGGUGAAGGAACUAGGCAAAAUGGUGCCGUAACUUCGGGAGAAGGCACGCUGGCGGUAGGUAAAGUCCCUCGCGGACGGCGCUGAAGCCAGUCGAAGAUACCAGCUGGCUGCAACUGUUUAUUAAAAACACAGCACUGUGCAAACACGAAAGUGGACGUAUACGGUGUGACGCCUGCCCGGUGCUGGAAGGUUAAUUGAUGGGGUCAGCCGUAAGGCGAAGCUCCUGAUCGAAGCCCCAGUAAACGGCGGCCGUAACUAUAACGGUCCUAAGGUAGCGAAAUUCCUUGUCGGGUAAGUUCCGACCUGCACGAAUGGCGUAAUGAUGGCCAGGCUGUCUCCACCCGAGACUCAGUGAAAUUGAACUCGCUGUGAAGAUGCAGUGUACCCGCGGCAAGACGGAAAGACCCCGUGAACCUUUACUAUAGCUUGACACUGAACAUUGAGCCUUGAUGUGUAGGAUAGGUGGGAGGCUUUGAAGUGUGGACGCCAGUCUGCAUGGAGCCAACCUUGAAAUACCACCCUUUAACGUUUGAUGUUCUAACCUAGGCCCAUAAACUGGGUCGGGGACCGUGUCUGGUGGGUAGUUUGACUGGGGCGGUCUCCUCCUAAAGAGUAACGGAGGAGCACGAAGGUUGGCUAAGCAUGGUCGGACAUCAUGCGGUUAGUGCAAAGGCAUAAGCCAGCUUGACUGCGAGAGUGACGGCUCGAGCAGGUACGAAAGUAGGUCUUAGUGAUCCGGUGGUUCUGAAUGGAAGGGCCAUCGCUCAACGGAUAAAAGGUACUCCGGGGAUAACAGGCUGAUACCGCCCAAGAGUUCAUAUCGACGGCGGUGUUUGGCACCUCGAUGUCGGCUCAUCACAUCCUGGGGCUGAAGUAGGUCCCAAGGGUAUGGCUGUUCGCCAUUUAAAGUGGUACGCGAGCUGGGUUUAGAACGUCGUGAGACAGUUCGGUCCCUAUCUGCCGUGGGCGUUGGAAGAUUGAGAGGGGUUGCUCCUAGUACGAGAGGACCGGAGUGAACGCACCACUGGUGUUCGGGUUGUCAUGCCAAUGGCAUUGCCCGGUAGCUAAGUGCGGAAGAGAUAACCGCUGAAAGCAUCUAAGCGGGAAACUUGCCUCGAGAUGAGUCUUCCCUGUCGCUUUAAGCGACCUAAAGGAACGUUUAAGACUAAGACGUUGAUAGGCUGGGUGUGUAAGCGUAGCGAUACGUUGAGCUAACCAGUACUAAUGAACCGUGAGGCUUAACC